UGGUUCUCACUACAGCCGGGAAACCUGCCUGGGAAGCUGCCUUGCAGCCACAGAGCUGGGCCACACAGAUGGAAGCUCCUCAGGAGCCGGGGCCAGGCUCUGCAGGUGUGUGGGAGCAUCCUGUGGUCCUCUGGAUCCUUGCAGACCGGGGAGGCUCAAGUCUGGUCCUAGUUUAGGAAUGACCUCGGUGGCUGGUCAGUAGAAGCUCUGUGAAGACCUCACAGCCUGUUUCAUUGCUGGCCCCAGGCCUUGCUUUGAGCUUCCUUGUGACCAGUGAAAUCAGAAGCAGCUUUGGGAUUUCUGGCUGGACCAAGUGCGCCAGGUCACAGGUACCUGAGGCCCAGGGAGGUUUGUCAGAGCAGUUGCUAUUUCAAAGUGACGAAUGAAUUAAAAGUCACUGACCUCCCUCUGUCUGUAGCCCUGCAUGCUGUCCCACCCCACAUGCACCAGGAUGGUAAUGGCAACAUCUCACUGCAGGGCUCAGGAUCUGCAGUGGCAUGGGGUGGGGUAGCUGUGUCUGCCCAGAGGGAGGCCUGGCCUGGAAUGGCUCCUCAGAUUACAACCCCAGAUACCAGGCAGGACAGACUCCGCACUGGCAGACUGUCCUAGAUUCUCUGCCUCAGCUCUGGGAUCCGCCGUGGUGCACCCUGGGUCUGGCCCUCCCUCCCACUUGCUGGUCUGAGAGCACAUGCCAGGUGCAGCCCACGGACUGAGAAGCUGACGUCAAGGUCCUCCUGGCAUGUACAGAGGUGUCUGCAACCAGAUGCUGAGGCUGGAGGAGGAAGCUGCCCUGUCCUAGUGGACAAGACAGAAGGCCCGAGGUGGCCCCCGGGGAACCAUCUUACCUGACGUCAUUUGGACCCAUGCGGUGGGCGUGUUCGGUGUCUAGGAUUGUCUUGAAGCCCAUGUUUCUGUCCUAGCAAAGCACCAGGCAUAAUGUCCACACAGGCAGUGGCAGGGCCUGGAGGUCAGGCCUGGAGGGGAGGCCAUCCAUCUCCACAUGAGGUUGCAUCCAGUGUCCCAGCAGGGCCGCCCAGGCUCUGGGAGGGAGAAGGGCCAAGAGGCCUACAAAAGGGCCAGCGGAGCACAGGUAGGUCCCAGCAGCCCUUGCCCAGCUGGGCCUGAGUGUCUGCGGCCGUGCAGUCAGGUGGCCUUAGGGCCAGACAGCCGUGCAGCCAUGUCGGUCAAGUGAUCAGGUAGGUCAGAUGGCCAUGUGGUCAGGGGGCCAUGCAGAUAUGUGGUCAUGCAGCCACGCAGUCAUCACUAAUAGUUUGAGGGUGGGUGUUCCCGCGGGAGGCCUCGGCAGGCUUUGUGUCCCCAUGGUAUGGGGUACAGUGGGCACCUGGUUGAUGCAUCCCUCCUGAGGGACAGGCCAGGGGCACGGAGGGUGGGGCAGAGCCUGAGGACCCUGGGCCGGGGGGGUGGGGGUCACAGGGCAAAGGUUUGCUCCCGUGCUGGGGCUGAGCUGACCCUGGGCCUUGAGCCCUCCCUUCCUUUAGUCCAAGCCAUUGCAGGGCCUUUGUACCUGGUGUCCCUCUGUCUCCCAGAUCUCUGCUCUGGGCUCCUGUUUGGGCCUCCUUGGGGAGCCUCUUUGGGCCCCUGUUGUCAUUGCCUGCCACAUCAUCUUUGCAUCCCAGCAGCCACCACUCUGCUGUGCCUGACGUCAGUGUCUGACAUCCGUGCUGGCUUGUGUGCUGUCUGUCUGUACAACCUAGAGUGUGGGCCCAUGGAGCAGUCCUGGUGGCCAAGGGUACUGCAUGCCACAAGAAUCUGUGGCCACAUGUUUCCCGAGACAGAACAAAAUAAUUUUUGUACACUUACAAGGCUCAGAAAGAAAAGACAAUGAAACUCAGCAAAAAGAGAGAAGAGGAAAGGCCGGCCAGCACCGCGGGCAGCCGACCCUGCAGGGCGGGCUGCCGCCGCCGCCACACGCGGACAUCUAGCUAGAAGAGCGGGUGUGGCUUGCGUGUGAGGGGUCAUGCAAAAGAACUAUCCCCCAGAAAAAAAUCCCCAAAUUAUCCCAGACAGGCAGCUUCGUGGAGAUACCAGGUGGGGGAGAGGAGGGGAGGAGGCCCCAGGAGGGGAGGGUGGCCAGGCCACACGCUGUCCACGGUGAGCCCUGCCGCUGCCCAAGGCCCAGGGAGCCUGGCGGAUGUUUACCCUGUGUCCAUGGGUGGGGACAGCUGUCCUGAGCACAGCUGUGAAUGGGCAGGUGAGUGUCUGUCAAUGAACAGUCCCCUUGGAGAUCAGCAUCCUGUGUCCUGCUCCCCACUCUGUGCCCUCCCUUGGCUUGAUUUGUGGGAGAAGAUAAAGAAAAUCCUUGUUGAAAACAAUAUGAAUUGAAGAGGGACAGGUGUUGGGAGAGGGCCCCCACAUUGUGGUUGCGGCCCCUGGCAACCCCCAACCAUAACGCAGCAGGCCAGGCCAGACCCACCCCACCCCAGCCGAUGGCCCUCUGCUCUCUCUGCCACCAUCUGACCAUGCAGCCUGUCCCCGAGCAUGGCCAUCGUGUCCACCACCAGCACGCAGGGGGACCCCGAGGUGAGCCCAGCCCGCCGUCUCCACAUCUCGGGGUCGCCGUCACACACUGCAGCCUCCUCGAGCCCAGUGCGGCCCUCCUUCCCUUCUGCUCCAGGCCCAGACUCUGAAAGCAAACACCUGCCUGGACCCCCACCUCGGCCAGGAGCCAGGGAGCCACCUGUCUGCCUUCUGCCUCCUCUCUCCUUUCUGCGUCAUGACCAAGCCCAGAGCCCUGGGGACUCGAGGCCCACGCCGCUCUGUGGCCUCACAGGCGGGGGGAAGGCGGGCAGAGAGGGAGAGGCACCCUGAACGGGAGGGAGGCCAGCCCAGGGUCCCCUCCCCACGGGCUGCAGCCAAAGGUGUCUCCUCAGCACGUCUCUUGCCAGGUGUGAGGUCUGAGAGGAUGUGUCCUCUCUGCACCUCCCUGACCCCGGAAGGACCAGAGCUGGAGCCCUGGGCCCACGGAGGCUUCUCGGAGGGCUCGCCGUCCUCCUCACACUGCUCCUCCAUGCUGGGGGCGCCAGAACCCCAGCGCCGGAGGAACGCAUGCCUCCGCCCUCCUGGAGGAAAGGAAGGGAAGCAGGGGAGACGACAGCGACUCAGGCCCCCUGCGGCCCCACAGCCUCCCCAGAGGACACCUGACGCUGCUGACAGCGAGCCACGCACGCAGGGCAGGGAGGAUGCGAUGCCUCGGGGGCAGCGCCACCAACAAACACUGUUCCACGGGCGACAGGCCGCUGUGGACAAGUUCACUGCCCCGGCCAGUCCCGGGGCCAGGAGCAGGCAGACACGCGGAGCUUGGGCAGGGAGCGGCCGGUCGGUUUGAAGCCCCACAAAUGCCAGUGAUUUUUACACCUUUUUCCUUUGUUUUUUUUUCUGUUUCAUCCAACAUCAAUUUUUUGUGUGUGGUUGUCGUUGUCGUCUUGUUUUUAAAAAGAAAUCACAUCUGGUCUUGGUUUUCUGCAGACACAGGCACCAGGGGAGGAACGAGGCAGACACAAACAUGCGACAGGCAGGCCGUGCGCCCGAGGGCAGCUGGGCUCCAAACAUCGAGUCUGUCCCGCGAAACCAGCAGCAGCUGUGAAACGGGGCGGGCGCAAGCGUGGAAUCAGCUGCCCGUGCAGCUGCUCCCUCAGACCCCAGGAGACCCUGGGGCCCUGGCCCCGGCACCCAGACUGUCCAGCUCAGAAUGCCCCCUCCAAGGCCACCAACAGCUCCCACAGGUCCAAGUCCAACAAGCUUCUGUCUUAUCAGUCUUAAAUAACACGUCUUUACAUGAUAGAAAUACUCCAUCCACAGUACAAAAUGUCUGGAAAACGCAGAAAGAGGAGGCAAAGCCUGCCACAACCCACCUGCGCCCCCAAGUCCCGGGGCCGUGUCCCAGGCCCUCUACAGCUGCGACACUGUGACAAGCCUCCCUGGCACCUGCACACCUGGCUCUGCUCCCGUAGCCUUCGAACACCCAACAGCUCUCCAGGGAGAGGGCUACUAAGGGCUGCUCUCAAAGCAGAGGGGGAUCAGGGCUGCAGGUGCAGCCUCCGCGCGAGGGCCGAGGGCCGGGGAGCAGGGAGCGCAACAGUCUUGAGCCUCACCCCUCUCUCCCUGGACGCCCGCAGCCUGCUGGCCUCCCGCUCCCUCUGGUCUCCACCUGUCUGCAGUCCUGGCCCCCAUGCUGGCCCUCCAGCAUCACUGCCCAUCCCGCACCCUCUGCCCCGGCCUCCUCUGGGCUCCUGCCGACUUGGCCUCUGUGCCUAGACAGGCUGGCCCCAGGGUGUUUGCCCGGGGGCCCCCUCUGUCUCUUUAACUACAAUUUAUUUUCACGCGAAAUAUCUGAAACCUAUGGAAGAAGUAGAGAGAAUAAUACAGCCCACACCCUGCUGGUGGAAAUCGGUAUGAUUUUCAUCUUUACUGUAGAUGUUUUUCAAAGAAAUAAAACCUAACUUAUAGUUGCAGAUGCGUGUCCCCCUAAAUCUGUUCUCAUUCACUCUCCCCAGAGAAGGGCUGUCCUGAGUUGCGUGCUUAACUACUUCCGUGCAGAAAUAUACACACCCGAGCGCGCGCACACACACACAUAUCAUGGUGAUUUCUUAAAGCAAUAAUGUGCCUGUGGCAAAACUGAGACCCA